rnacentral:rRNA from 1 species
ACUGGCGCACGGGUGAGUAACGCGUGGGAAUCUGCCCUGGGGUGGGGAAUAACCGCUGGAAACGGCGGCUAAUACCGCAUACGCCUUCAGAGGGAAAGCUUUUGCGCCCUGGGAUGAUCCCGCGUCGGAUUAGCUUGUUGGUGAGGUAACGGCUCACCAAGGCGACGAUCCGUAGCUGGUCUGAGAGGAUGAUCAGCCACACUGGGAUUGAGACACGGCCCAGACUCCUACGGGAGGCAGCAGUGGGGAAUAUUGGACAAUGGGGGCAACCCUGAUCCAGCCAUGCCGCGUGCGUGAAGAAGGCCCCAGGGUUGUAAAGCGCUUUCGGCGGGGAAGAUGAUGACGGUACCCGCAGAAGAAGCCCCGGCUAACUCCGUGCCAGCAGCCGCGGUAAUACGGAGGGGGCUAGCGU